rnacentral:rRNA from 1 species
GGUAUCGCCGUUAGUCAUGUGCAAAUAUGGAUAGCUGUUUUAGCCGUCUUUAUUGACUGGUUCAUAAGAGUUAUCAGAUAUCACUUUGAUUAAAUUAGAGUGCUUAAAGCAAGUGUGUUACUUGGAUAUAAAUGCAUGGAAUGAUGGAAUAUGUUGUUAUUCUAUUUGUUGGUUUUUGAAUGAUAAAAUGAUUGAAAGGAACUGUUGGGGGCAUUCGUAUUGUUGUGAGAGAGGUGAAAUUCUUAGACCACAGCAAGACGAACUACUGCGAAAGCAUUUGCCAAGAAUGUUUUCAUUGAUCAAGAACGAAAGUUAGAGGUUCGAAGGCGAUCAGAUACCGCCCUAGUUCUAACCAUAAACUAUGCCAACUAGCAAUUUGCUUUGUAUUUUUUAUGACUAAGUGAGAGGCCACGGGAAACCUAAGUAGGGUUAUGGGGGAAGUAUGGUUGCAAAGCUGAAACUUAAAGGAAUUGACGGAAGGGCACCACCAGGAGUGGAGCCUGCGGCUUAAUUUGACUCAACACGGGAAAACUUACCUGGUCCUGACACUAGAAGGAUUGACAGAUUGAUAGCUCUUUCUUGAUUUGGUGGAUGGUGGUGCAUGGCCGUUCUUAGUUGGUGGAGUGAUUUGUCUGGUUAAUUCCGAUAACGAACGUGACUCUAGCCUAUUAAAUAAUACACGGAAUUUUAUCUUCCGCGGUAUUUCUUAGUGGGAUCAAGCG